rnacentral:lncRNA from 1 species
CAAUAGUAGGAUUCAUCUCAGAAACAUUGCAGUGUGAAAAAGAAAUGAGCAUCUUGGAAUCCAGGGGAUACGGUGUUUUCUAAAAAUCAUGGUAGAGACAGGGCACCGUAUGGGGAGCUUGGUGGCACUGGCAGACCUGGAGAGGGCAGAGUGGUUGAGGUCCAUGUCCACCCACCCUGCCGCCAGCUGACUUCCAUUUCAAUCAUUCGGGCCCACUUUGGGGACAGUUCAAGCAGCUCAAGAACACUCAUAGCUGAAUUCUUCUUCAAUCAAGUUGGACAACUAAUCAGCUUCCAUUUGAAGCUGGCGAACUGUUUGACUCAGUAGAUAGACAAGUGCUGGCUGCGGUCACCAGGAAUGUGGGCACGUCUUCUUGAUGGUUGGUGGUCAUGAGAGCCAGUCAAGUGGCAUAAAAGUACCUUACAUUCAGAGCCAAGGGUUCUGGGUCCAAAUGACACCAACCUUGGACACAAUUGCUUUGUCUCUCUGAGUCUAAGAUUCCCCUUCUGUAGAGCGUAGAUGUAAAAUAGCAAAAUUAGAAAUUAACAGUUCCUGUGUGCUUAGCAUAUGCCACAUAUUGUCCUGUUUCUUACAAAUGACUGGUGUAAUCCUAGGAGGUAGAUAUUGUUAUCUCAAUUUUUCAGAUGAGCAAAGAGAGGGACUGGACUUUUUCCUAAAGACAUAGCGAGUAGGUGGCAGAGAUAAGGGAUGAAACCAAUCUCCCUAGUUAUAGGGCCUGUUCUUUUCACAAUAAGGGUACUGGGUUAACAGCAGUAAUUGCUGCACUUAAAAAAAACAACAAAAAUUCUAACAAAGGCCUGGGGGUG